UCAUUAAGAAGCUAUGAAACAGCGCUAGCCUUUUAAGCUAGAGAAAGGGGACACAACCCCCCCCUUAAUGGU
rnacentral:tRNA from 1 species